CCUACGGGGUGCAGCAGUGGGGAAUAUUGGACAAUGGGCGAAAGCCUGAUCCAGCCAUGCCGCGUGUGUGAAGAAGGCCUUCGGGUUGUAAAGCACUUUCAGUGGGGAAGAAAGCCUUGGGGCUAAUACCCUCGAGGAAGGACAUCACCCACAGAAGAAGCACCGGCUAACUCCGUGCCAGCAGCCGCGGUAAUACGGAGGGUGCGAGCGUUAAUCGGAAUUACUGGGCGUAAAGCGCGCGUAGGCGGUCUGAUAAGCCGGUUGUGAAAGCCCCGGGCUCAACCUGGGAACGGCAUCCGGAACUGUCAGGCUAGAGUGCAGGAGAGGAAGGUAGAAUUCCUGGUGUAGCGGUGAAAUGCGUAGAGAUCGGGAGGAAUACCAGUGGCGAAGGCGGCCUUCUGGACUGACACUGACGCUGAGGUGCGAAAGCGUGGGUAGCAAACAGGAUUAGAUACCCCGGUAGUC
rnacentral:rRNA from 1 species